GACGAACGCUGGCGGCGUGCUUAACACAUGCAAGUCGAACGAAGAGCGAUGGAAGCUUGCUUCUAUCAAUCUUAGUGGCGAACGGGUGAGUAACGCGUAAUCAACCUGCCCUUCAGAGGGGGACAACAGUUGGAAACGACUGCUAAUACCGCAUACGAUCUAACCUCGGCAUCGAGGAUAGAUGAAAGGUGGCCUCUACAUGUAAGCUAUCACUGAAGGAGGGGAUCGCGUCUGAUUAGCUAGUUGGAGGGGUAACGGCCCACCAAGGCGAUGAUCAGUAGCCGGUCUGAGAGGAUGAACGGCCACAUUGGGACUGAGACACGGCCCAGACUCCUACGGGAGGCAGCAGUGGGGAAUCUUCCGCAAUGGACGAAAGUCUGACGGAGCAACGCCGCGUGAGUGAUGACGGCCUUCGGGUUGUAAAGCUCUGUUAAUCGGGACGAAAGGCCUUCUUGCGAAUAGUUAGAAGGAUUGACGGUACCGGAAUAGAAAGCCACGGCUAACUACGUG
rnacentral:rRNA from 1 species